AGUCACUGCUAUUGGGAUUCGACUAAGCCAUGCGAGUCGAGAGGGUUCGACCCUCGGCAAACGGCUCAGUAACACGCGGAUAAUCUGCCCUUAGGUGGAGGAUAACCUCGGGAAACUGAGAAUAAUACUCCAUAGAUCUAGGAUGCUGGAAUGCACUUAGAUUGAAAGUUCCGGCGCCUAAGGAUGAGUCUGCGGACUAUCAGGUAGUAGUCAGGGUAAAGGCCUGACUAGCCUACGACGGGUACGGGUUGUGAGAGCAAUAACCCGGAGACGAUAUCUGAGACACGAUAUCGGGCCCUACGGGGCGCAGCAGGCGCGAAACCUUCACAAUGUGCGAAAGCGCGAUGAGGGGAUCCCAAGUGCUUGCUCGUAAGAGUAAGCUGUUUUUAUGUCUAAAACGCAUAGAGAGUAAGGGCUGGGUAAGACGGGUGCCAGCCGCCGCGGUAAUACCUGCAGCUCAAGUGGUGACCGCUAUAUUGGGCCUAAAACAUUCGUAGCCGGUUUGGUAAAUGCCUGGGUAAAUCGUGUAGCUUAACUAUACGAAUUCCGGGUAGACUGCCAACUUGAGACCGGGAGAAGCUAGAGGUACUCCUUGGGUAGAGGUGAAAUUCUGUAAUCCUAGGGGGACCACCAGUGGCGAAGGCGUCUAGCUAGAACGGGUUUGACGGUGAGGAAUGAAGCCCUGGGGCGCAAACCGGAUUAGAUACCCGGGUAGUCCAGGGUGUAAACGCUGCUUGCUUGAUGUUAGUUGGGCUCCGAGCCCAAUUAGUGUCGGAGAGAAGUUGUUAAGCAAGCUGCCUGGGAAGUACGAUCGCAAGAUUGAAACUUAAAGGAAUUGGCGGGGGAGCACAGCAACGGGUGGAGCGUGCGGUUUA
rnacentral:rRNA from 1 species